AUUGAACGCUGGCGGCAGGCCUAACACAUGCAAGUCGAGCGGGGUUUUCGGACCUAGCGGCGGACGGGUGAGUAAUGCGUAGGAAGCUGCCCGAUAGAGGGGGAUACCAGUUGGAAACGACUGUUAAUACCGCAUAAUGUCUACGGACCAAAGUGUGGGACCUUCGGGCCACAUGCUAUCGGAUGCGCCUACGUGGGAUUAGCUAGUUGGUGAGGUAAUGGCUCACCAAGGCGACGAUCUCUAGCUGGUUUGAGAGGAUGAUCCGCCACACUGGAACUGAGACACGGUCCAGACUCCUACGGGAGGCAGCAGUGGGGAAUAUUGGACAAUGGGCGCAAGCCUGAUCCAGCCAUGCCGCGUGUGUGAAGAAGGCCUUCGGGUUGUAAAGCACUUUCAGCGAGGAGGAAGGGUGGUGUGUUAAUAGCACAUCAUUUUGACGUUACUCGCAGAAGAAGCACCGGCUAACUCUGUGCCAGCAGCCGCGGUAAGAC
rnacentral:rRNA from 1 species